CUUAGCAGAGAUGCUUGGUGCUUCGGGAACUCUGAGACAGGUGCUGCAUGGCUGUCGUCAGCUCGUGUUGUGAAAUGUUGGGUUAAGUCCCGCAACGAGCGCAACCCUUAUCCUUUGUUGCCAGCGGUUAGGCCGGGAACUCAAAGGAGACUGCCAGUGAUAAACUGGAGGAAGGUGGGGAUGACGUCAAGUCAUCAUGGCCCUUACGAGUAGGGCUACACACGUGCUACAAUGGCGCAUACAAAGAGAAGCGACCUCGCGAGAGCAAGCGGACCUCAUAAAGUGCGUCGUAGUCCGGAUUGGAGUCUGCAACUCGACUCCAUGAAGUCGGAAUCGCUAGUAAUCGUGGAUCAGAAUGCCACGGUGAAUACGUUCCCGGGCCUUGUACACACCGCCCGUCACACCAUGGGAGUGGGUUGCAAAAGAAGUAGGUAGCUUAACCUUCGGGAGGGCGCUUACCACUUUGUGAUUCAUGACUGGGGUGAAGUCGUAACAAGGUAGGCGUAGUGCU
rnacentral:rRNA from 1 species